rnacentral:piRNA from 1 species
UGAUAACUCCAAGAAGGAUGGGCGGCU